CAAUAGCGUAUAUUAAAGUUGUUGCGGUUAAAAAGCUCGUAGUUGGAUUUCUGCUGAGGACGACCGGUCCGCCCUCCGGGUGAGCAUCUGGUUCGGCCUUGGCAUCUUCUUGGUGAACGUAUCUGCACUUAACUGAGCGGGCGUGGGAGACGGAUCGUUUACUUUGAAAAAAUCAGAGUGUUUCUAGCAGGCAGCUCGCUCUUGCAUAGGUUAGCAUGGAUAAUUUAAUAGGACUCUGGUGCUAUUUUGUUGGUUUCGAACACCGGAGUAAUGAUUAAAAGGGGCAGUCAGGGGCACUCGUAUUCCGUCGAGAGAGGUGAAAUUCUCAGACCAAUGGAAGACGAACCACUGCGAAAGCAUUUGCCAGGGAUGUUUUCACUGAUCAAGAACGAAAGUUAGGGGAUCGAAGACGAUCAGAU
rnacentral:rRNA from 1 species